rnacentral:rRNA from 1 species
UGGGGAAUAUUGCACAAUGGGCGCAAGCCUGAUGCAGCCAUGCCGCGUGUAUGAAGAAGGCCUUCGGGUUGUAAAGCACUUUCAGCGGGGAGGAAGGCGUUAAGGUUAAUAACCUUGGCGAUUGACGUUACCCGCAGAAGAAGCACCGGCUAACUCCGUGCCAGCAGCCGCGGUAAUACGGAGGGUGCAAGCGUUAAUCGGAAUUACUGGGCGUAAAGCGCACGCAGGCGGUUUGUUAAGUCAGAUGUGAAAUCCCCGGGCUCAACCUGGGAACUGCAUCUGAUACUGGCAAGCUUGAGUCUCGUAGAGGGGGGUAGAAUUCCAGGUGUAGCGGUGAAAUGCGUAGAGAUCUGGAGGAAUACCGGUGGCGAAGGCGGCCCCCUGGACAAAGACUGACGCUCAGGUGCGAAAGCGUGGGGAGCAAACAGG